AUCAGCCUUUUGGGUGUGAUUUUGUGGACGUGAGGAGUUAAACGCCUUCAUGCCUGCAUAUUCGUGCACUUUGGGUGUACUUGCCCGUGUGGUUGGUUAACAUCAAUUUUGGUUACCAUAAAAUGACUGGAGGAAUGUAGCUUCGAUCUCGUAUUGAAGUGUUAUAGCCUUCGGUAGAUGUGAUGAUCGAGAUUGAGGAUUGCAACGGAUACCCUUCGGGGCUACCUGUCUGGUCUCUGAUCGUUGCUCUGGUGCCGAAAGCUUGCUUACGGUUAUCAAAGUCGAUGGUCAAUAGGUUAGAACGGGUUAAAUUCGUUAAGGAUGUUGACGUAAUGGCUUU
rnacentral:rRNA from 1 species